GACGAACGCUGGCGGCGUGCUUAACACAUGCAAGUCGAACGAGGUGAUUUGAAAGCUUGCUUUUGAAGAACCGAGUGGCAAACGGGUGAGUAACGCGUAGACAACCUGCCGCAAAGAUGGGGACAACAGUCCGAAAGGACUGCUAAUACCGAAUGUUGUGUCUUUUCCGCAUGGAAGGGACAUUAAAGAUGGCCUCUACUUGUAAGCUAUCGCUUUGCGAUGGGUCUGCGUCUGAUUAGCUAGUUGGCGGGGUAAGAGCCCACCAAGGCGACGAUCAGUAGCCGGUCUGAGAGGAUGAACGGCCACAUUGGAACUGAGACACGGUCCAG
rnacentral:rRNA from 1 species